rnacentral:rRNA from 2 species
CGAGCGAACUGAUUAGAAGCUUGCUUCUAUGACGUUAGCGGCGGACGGGUGAGUAACACGUGGGCAACCUGCCUGUAAGACUGGGAUAACUUCGGGAAACCGAAGCUAAUACCGGAUAGGAUCUUCUCCUUCAUGGGAGAUGAUUGAAAGAUGGUUUCGGCUAUCACUUACAGAUGGGCCCGCGGUGCAUUAGCUAGUUGGUGAGGUAACGGCUCACCAAGGCAACGAUGCAUAGCCGACCUGAGAGGGUGAUCGGCCACACUGGGACUGAGACACGGCCCAGACUCCUACGGGAGGCAGCAGUAGGGAAUCUUCCGCAAUGGACGAAAGUCUGACGGAGCAACGCCGCGUGAGUGAUGAAGGCUUUCGGGUCGUAAAACUCUGUUGUUAGGGAAGAACAAGUACGAGAGUAACUGCUCGUACCUUGACGGUACCUAACCAGAAAGCCACGGCUAACUACGUGCCAGCAGCCGCGGUAAUACGUAGGUGGCAAGCGUUAUCCGGAAUUAUUGGGCGUAAAGCGCGCGCAGGCGGUUUCUUAAGUCUGAUGUGAAAGCCCACGGCUCAACCGUGGAGGGUCAUUGGAAACUGGGGAACUUGAGUGCAGAAGAGAAAAGCGGAAUUCCACGUGUAGCGGUGAAAUGCGUAGAGAUGUGGAGGAACACCAGUGGCGAAUGCGGCUUUUUGGUCUGUAACUGACGCUGAGGCGCGAAAGCGUGGGAGCAAACAGGAUUAGAUACCCUGCUAGUCCACGCCGUAAACGAUGACUGCU